UAGUCGGAUAAUCGCGUUUGUGAGAACAAAUGAGGAAAGUCCGUGCAUUCAAGAACAGGGCUCCGGAGAAACUCCGGACGGUGUGAGCCGGUGGAUAGUGCCACAGAAAUGUAGACGGUCGAUGGCUCUGCAAACAGAGUACAGACAAAGGUGCAACGGUGAGUUAAGAGCUUCACCAGCGAUAUCGAGAGGUAUCGGCUAGGUAAACCCAGCUCGAAUGCAAGAUUAAAUCGAGGGUUAUAAAGGUUGUUCGCCCACCUCGGAAAAAUCGCUAGAGUUUGUGAGUAAUCACAUUCCCAGACAGAUGAUUAUCAACUAAAACAGAACACGGCUUAUGAGCUGCUUU
rnacentral:RNase_P_RNA from 1 species